rnacentral:lncRNA from 1 species
UCUCCUUCAUGUUUGAAGAAUAUAUACCCUGGAUGUACCAUUCUGAGCACAGGCUUUAAAUGUUCCAAUGACAGAAAACAGGUGUCCAACAACUACUUUAGAUUUAGUUACAUAUUUUACAAUAAUCAUGGAUGAUCUGGACAACUUAAGAGAGAAAGCAAGAUGUUGAAAGGUAUGGAAAUAUUCUCUUUUUAAAAGUUGAAGAAAUGGUUUGUGUUUGGCUUUAAGAGGAAGUAAGUCUAGGGAGACUCCUGAGUGAUGUACUGAAAUGGCUCACAAGUUCCCAUGAAAAUGAAUGAAGAGACAGAAUGUACAUUAUCUGGAAAGUUGAACUUGGUCAAA